AUUGAACGCUGGCGGCAGGCCUAACACAUGCAAGUCGAGCGGAUGAAGGGAGCUUGCUCCUGGAUUCAGCGGCGGACGGGUGAGUAAUGCCUAGGAAUCUGCCUGGUAGUGGGGGAUAACGUCCGGAAACGGGCGCUAAUACCGCAUACGUCCUGAGGGAGAAAGUGGGGGAUCUUCGGACCUCACGCUAUCAGAUGAGCCUAGGUCGGAUUAGCUAGUUGGUGGGGUAAAGGCCUACCAAGGCGACGAUCCGUAACUGGUCUGAGAGGAUGAUCAGUCACACUGGAUCUGAGACACGGUCCAGACUCCUACGGGAGGCAGCAGUGGGGAAUAUUGGACAAUGGGCGAAAGCCUGAUCCAGUCAUGCCGCGUGUGUGAAGAAGGUCUUCGGAUUGUAAAGCACUUUAAGUUGGGAGGAAGGGCAGUAAGUUAAUACCUUGCUGUUUUGACGUUACCAACAGAAUAAGCACCGGCUAACUUCGUG
rnacentral:rRNA from 1 species